AGAAAUACAACAAACAGUGAAGCUUAGAGAUGACUGGAAAGGGGGAGGAGUCACAGUGACCCCUCCCUUCUUGGUUUUUUGCACCAACAGAGCGGGCAAACAGCAAACGUCCUCAAAGCCAAAAUGAAGAUCCUGUCUGUGUGCUGCUUCAGUUUGAAUUUCCUCCUGCUUUCAGCUUCAUCUCUGAUGGACCAGAUCACCCAGACGCCUGCACAUGUCUUCAAACAUGCUGGAGAAGAAGCUGAAAUCAAAUGUUCCCACAGCAUUCAGAGCUAUGAUACCGGUCUGUGGUGCAAACAGUCAGAGGACGGUCAGAUGCAGCUUCUUGGAUACAUGAUGUCAGGAAGCGCGUUUCCAGAGAGCGGACUGGGAGUGACGAUGGGCGGCAGUGCAGACAAAGACCAGACGUUCACCUUAACCAUAGCAGGAAUCAGCGAGGGCAGCAGAGCCGUUUACUUCUGUGCAGCUCGUCUCCACAGUGCUUCACAUCACUGCUCUGCUGUACAAAAACCUCCUGCUGCUGAGGCUCCACAUCACACAAACUAAAGGAGACCACAGCUGUGGCAAUGCCAGCAGAGAUAUCAGCACAGAAAGCUCCUCCUCAGUGAGAAGCAAACAGAAAAAAGGAGAAACCUUUAUCCACUAGGAGGCGUGUUUGCUCACGAGUUUGAUCUUUUUUUACAGUUUUAUUCUGUCUUGCUGCAGCAGUCCUAGACUGAAGGACCGGAUUGUUUUAAUAAUUCUUCUUUCUGAAGAGUGAAGAUAAGCGAUGACAUCACAGCGGGAGAAACCAUCGAAAAAAAAGGAAAUGUUUCGGGGUUGAAAAAGUACCGGGUAUUUAAAAUCCUCUAAUGAAACCCAAACACACAUGUUGGGAAUACCUAAAGGAAGUUUCAAAGUUAUUAUGGGAUGGCCACAGCACCCAUGGCUUGGUCGCCAUUUUGGGGCAAACUAUGAAAUUUGCUGAUUUUUCCACGUUUGAGCAAAUUUCAUGACAUUUCACAAACACGCCACCAGGUUACGUCUCGACCACAAACAAGUUUUGUUGACCUGCGACCUAAAGAGGCCGCCAUCUAGAAUUUCAAAAAAUAAAAAAACUUUAGUAACUUCUACAAAUUUAAACUUCCACGGAUUUCAAUCGGCCUCCUCCUUACCUGAGCAUCAGAAGGAAGCCACUUGAGAUAAAUUGUUUGUUUUUACUUUUCAAAACCUUUAACAGCGUUAGUGUGGCAAUCUUCCAAAAGUAGAGUUACCCUCUUGCUCCAGCAUUUCAGACCGGGAUUUUAAAUAUUUAAGAGAUGAAUAGCUGCCAUUUAGAAAGAAAGU